GCCUAGAUGAGGAAUAUCCUGGUAGAAGUCACCAUCUUAGGCUAGGCUAUGGAGUUGUAAGUUGGGGACCAGGGGUUUGUCCUGAUGAGAGGCAGUCAAAGCUUCCACAGCAAGGGUCUGACGAAGGACUAAGACCUCCCAGGUGCCCUCUCAAGGCCCUGCUCGCCUCAAGAAUGCUUACUGGUCACCUCGAGGCUAAGGAGUCAGCUGAAACAAAUCAUGUUAGAGGACCAGAGUCAGGGAGGAGGAGGGCCCAACAAUGAGAAGAAGAAGAUGGAGGCCAAAGCCCAGGCCCCUGGGGAGGACAGCAAGACUGAUGAGGUUGUGCCAGUGUACAUACGGAUAGAGGGGAUGGAUUCUGAGAAAACAACAUCAUGGGAUGAAAGAGAUGACGCGCCUUCUGGAAGUCCUCAAAACGGGAGUACAAUGGCCACCGGAGGAACAGACUCUCUGGAGGAAAGACUGUCUUUUACAUCUUUAGAUGAAAAGGUUAUACACAUGUCUUCCAAAUUUCUGCAAAGAGGCUUUGGCAGACUGUCACCAGAACCACUUUCUGACAGCACAUUCCUGGACACAGAGUCACCGGCUGAUAUCUGGUCUUCCAAUCCAGACACUUCAGAAGGUGAGAUUCUCCUGCAGGCCCGAGCAAGCAGGGUCCUCCCUUGUUUUCCCCCGAAUGCAGUGUGGCUGCAG
rnacentral:lncRNA from 1 species